UUGCAGAUGAAACAGCAUGGCUUCAGUCUGGUGCUACACUCGGUGAGCUUUACUAUGCUAUUGGCAAGGAAAGUAGAGUUCAUGCAUUCCCAGCAGGGUUAUGCCCUACUGUUGGAGUUGGUGGGCAUUUCAGUGGAGGGGGGUUUGGUACCUUGCUGAGGAAAUAUGGACUUGCAGCCGAUAAUGUCAUCGAUGCUUUCUUGAUCGAUGUUAAUGGAAGAAUUCUUGAUAGAGAAGCAAUGGGAGAAGAGUUGUUUUGGGCUAUUAGAGGAGGUGGUGGAGCAAGUUUUGGAGUCAUUCUUUCCUGGAAGAUCAAGCUGGUUAAAGUUCCACCAACGGUGACUGUUUUCACUGUUUCGAAAACUAUAGAACAAGGUGCUACGAAGCUUGUCCAUAGGUGGCAAUACAUUGCAGACAAGCUUCAUGAAGAUCUCUUUAUCAGAAUCAUCAUUCAAAAUGUUGGUGGUGAUGCAGGUACAAAUCUAAAGACAGUCCAAGCUUCCUUUAAUUCACUGUUUCUUGGAGGAAUUGACAGGCUAAUACCGCUGAUGAAAAAGAGUUUCCCUGAAUUGGGAUUGAAAGCCGGUGAUUGCACAGAAAUGGCUUGGAUUGAAUCUACCCUAUACUUCGCAGGAUUCCCCAGAGGAAGCCCCCUGGAGGUCUUACUUGACAAGACUCAACUAUACAAAGCCAACUUCAAAGCAAAAUCUGACUAUGUAACAGAACCUAUACCCGAAGGUGUAUUCAGAGGUAUAUGGAAGAGAUUCUUGGAGGAAGAGCUAGUGUUCAUGAUAAUGGAUCCUUAUGGUGGAAAAAUGAAUGAUAUAUUAGAAUCAGAAAUUCCAUUUCCCCACAGGAAAGGCAACUUGUACAACAUACAAUACCUGGUGAAGUGGGAAGUGAAUGGAGUUGGGAAAUCAAACAAGCAUGUACGCUGGAUCAGGAUGCUUCACAGGUAUAUGACGCCAUAUGCUUCCAAGUCUCCAAGAUCUGCCUAUCUUAACUAUAGGGACCUUGACUUGGGGAGUAACAAGGAUAUCAACACAAGCUACUUGGAGGCUAGUGUUUGGGGUGUGAAGUACUUUAAGGGCAAUUUCAAGAGGUUGGUCCAAGUGAAAAGCAAAAUUGAUCCUCACAAUUUCUUCAGAAAUGAACAGAGUAUUCCUUCCCUUCAUGAAUAAGGGAAAUGGAAAAACAAACUCAUAUGCUGGAGUAAAGCUUUCUCCUGUAAGGUCCCUGCAUAAUUAUGAGGAAAGUUUUCUUUUCCCUCUCCAGGUUUUUCUUCUAAACUGAAUUCAACAUGAAGAACACAGUUAACAAGCAAAAAAACAAAACAGUAUGAAGGGCAGAUGGACAUUGAGUUGAGAUGGUAUUUUGUUUUUAAAGGAUAAAUCACAAAAAUUCAAUGUUUGCUAAAACUUACAUUUGAAUCCUUC
rnacentral:misc_RNA from 1 species